rnacentral:rRNA from 1 species
AGAGUUUGAUCCUGGCUCAGGAUGAACGCUGGCGGCGUGCCUAAUACAUGUAAGUCGAACGGAAGAUGUAGCAAUAUGUCUUUAGUGGCGAACGGGUGAGUAACGCGUUGGUGACCUGCCCCGAAGAGAGGGAUAACAGACCGAAAGGUUUGCUAAUACCGCGUAAUUUCCUUCUAGUUAGAGAGGAGGGAAGAAAGGCCGAAAGGCGCUUUGGGAGGGGCCUGCGUCCCAUCAGCUAGUUGGCGAGGUAAAAGCUCACCAAGGCGAUGACGGGUAGGGGACCUGAGAGGGUGACCCCCCACAAUGGAACUGAAACACGGUCCAUACACCUACGGGUGGCAGCAGUAGGGAAUAUUGGUUAAUGGGCGAAAGCCCGACCCAGCAACGCCGCGUGCACGAAGAAGGCCUUCGGGUUGUAAAGUGCUUUUUAGUGGGAUGAGGAAGGACAGUACCACUAGAAUAAGUCUCGGCUAACUACGUGCCAGCAGCCGCGGUAACACGUAGGAGACGAGCGUUAUCCGGAUUUACUGGGUGUAAAGCGCGUGCAGGCGGUCGGGUAAGUUGGAUGUGAAAGCUCCUGGCUUAACUGGGAGAGGUCGUUCAAAACUGCCGGGCUAGAGUGCAACAGAGGGGAGUGGAAUUCCGAGUGUAGCGGUAAAAUGCAUAGAUAUUCGGAAGAACACCAGUGGCGAAGGCGGCUCUCUGGGUUGCAACUGACGCUCAGACGCGAAAGCUAGGGUAGCGAACGGGAUUAGAGACCCCGGUAGUCCUAGCCGUAAACGAUGUGGACUUGGCGUGGGUGGGUUGAAAUCCAUCUGUGCCGAAGCAAACGCGAUAAGUCCACCACCUGGGGACUACGGCCGCAAGGUUAAAACUCAAAGGAAUUG